GCAAGAACAGUGUGUCCCUGCUAUUUUAGGACAAUGGCCCUGAGACCUCAGGGAGCGUCCUGUGAGACUUUCUGUUAUGCCCAUCUGAAGGAGAACUGGAGGGACAACAGACGAGCCAGGACAAGGCAAAAGUGAGCUGUCUUGGGGGUCUGGGACCUGUGUGAACACAGAACAAUAUUAAAUGCUUCUAGAAACUGGCACACGAUAUGGUUUCUUCUUCAGAACAUCCGUAAGUGUUUUGUUAGUUAGAUUAUGUGGUGUUUUUGUGACAGUGGCUGCCAUGGGGGCCCUGGUCUACUGCAUUUGUUUAGAAUAGUGUUCCCUAAUAAUGUCUCCUGCAUGCAGACACCAUGUACACAGACUCCACUUAGGUUUCACCUAUAUAGAUGUCCCAGCACCUAUGUCCAGAGCUUCAUGGCAUCCAAUCCUAUGUCCUCAAAUACCAAGUGCGACUAAAGGCACCAGCGCUCUCAGCAGCAUACAACAGCAGCACCCUGUGGGAAGUGUGCCAUUCACUCAACUGUGAAGCCUGUUACUGUAGUGCCUGCAGCUUGUGGAGAGCUACCUGCACGGCCUGCUGCUUCUGUCUCUCGGCCAUGUAUGCAUGUCCCAGUGCCUACAGGGUGGCCUGGUGCUGCUGCUCCAAAAGUAGAAGCUCAGCACUCACCCUGUCUAGGGCCACAAUACUCUCCUCUUCCAGCAGAUGCCUCUGAUCAUACAGGGCCACAACCAUUUCUUCCUACAAAUAGGGCACCCACAAGUGUCACAUCCUGUUGGGAGCCGUGGCACUGUCAAGUCAUCAGACGCGGCGACUGCAAGGCCUGUGGGAAAGUACAAAAGCCUGAGCUAGAUUACCCCUCUCAUCGAGCCCGCCUGUGUGGCACCUGUUUCUUAUCACCCCACUAAGUUCCCGCCUCACAGGGUAGUCUGCCUAGCUAUUAAUCCUAUAUAUAGCCAGUGCCUCCACCCCCGAGAGAGAGACUGAAGCACGGAAGGAGCCGCGGGGAGCGGACCGGUAGAGGCUUCGGGGGAGACUGAAGCACGGAAGGAGCCGCGGGGAGCGGACCGGUAGAGGCUUCGGGGCAGACUGAAGCACGGAAGGAGCCGCGGAGAGCGGACCGGUAGAGGCUUCGGGGCAGACUGUAUAAGGAGAGAAUAAAGAAAAGCCUGACCACCGCCAGACCUUGUCGUGUGUCUUUCCUGCCGGCCGGGAGCGACAUCGACAUUUGGUGGCCCGCACGGGGAUUGAUCAACCCCGAGACGUGGCGGUGGACUGCAUUCUCCUACACAGUGCUGCAGCUGCAGGACAGGUGAGUAGAGGAUAAGCCUGGGCCCUGGGUGGCGCGCACCUACAGGGUUUGUAGACUCCUCUCAACCUCACGCGUAAGUGGCGGGUUUCUUGGGCCUCACGCGGUGAGUAUGAAACAUAACACCAGAACUUAAGGUAAUAAAAGAGUGUAAAACAUAAACAUAGAAGUAAAAAUAACAGAAGAUAUAUUAAAAAUGGGAAACAUGCCAAGUAAAGAUACACAGCCUUGGUGUUGGUCCUUCGGAGACUCCUAAAGUCCAAGGACCUCAAGGUGGGGCGUAAGACUUUAGAAAAUUUCCUUGCAGAGAUUGACAGCUUUGCUCCCUGGUUUCUGCCUACAGGGCAUGUAAACCUGCCCUCCUGGGAAAAGUUGGGCAGAGACCUUUCCCUAGCAGAACGGGAGGGUAGAGCUUCAGUCUCUGCUCGUCCAUUGUGGGAAAUGAUACACACGUGCCUAAAGAGUGAGGGUAGUUACGGGGGGAGCUCUCAAGAACUUGUAGAAGUACGCGAGGUGUUUGAACAGGCACAGUGAGGAAGCUCCCGAGAAGGGUCCGUCAAGGAGGGCAGAGAUACAAAAGAGGAAGCCGAGGCGCGGUUUGUGUCUUUCCGCAGGAAUCGGGACGAGAACCAAUGUGGGUCCCAGAGAGGUUGACGCGACAAGUCCCUCGACUGAAGAUCAGGCCUGUUCCACCAGAGGCCAACCGCAGACCCAACAACAAGAUGAGCCCUAAAAGAACUGCAGGACAAUCCCUUUUUGGGGGCCUGGAACGGCUUGCUCCCCUAUGUGCUACCCUUGUAUACGCAUGGCUCGCUCGCAUGGCCUACGACCGCGUUUAAAAGUGACAGGCUUCCCACAUUCUCCUCCCUAGACAACAACAUGUAGCAGGGUGGGUGAGUCAAUGACGGGUAAGAGCGUGCCUCCCCAGCACGACUCAACCUAAGCCAGGCCCUACCCCAUUCCGCUCGAAAGCCGCUGGAUUGUUAGAUAAAUUUCUCUCCGAGGGGAUUCGUGGAGAGAAAUGAGUGCAUGCCUAUGUGCAACCAGGUUCCGUCCGGUUCAUUCCUGGCCCUAGAAAAAAGGACGAGGGCCUCAGGGCCUUGGUGGACCCUGGGACGGCCGACCAGGGUCUACGCUAAGGGCCUACGGUGGGCCUCAGUUCGGGGCAUAGGCCUCUGCACUCUAUCCAGGACGGGCUGCGAUGCGCGUAGCCAUCAUUUAAAAUAAAAUAGGGGGAGAUGUUGGGAGCCGUGGCACUGUCAAGUCAUCAGACGCGGUGACUGCAAGGCCUGUGGGAAAGUACAAAAGCCUGAGCUAGAUUACCCCUCUCAUCGAGCCCGCCUGUGUGGCACCUGUUUCUUAUCACCCCACUAAGUUCCCGCCUCACAGGGUAGUCUGCCUAGCUAUUAAUCCUAUAUAUAGCCAGUGCCUCCACCCCCGAGAGAGAGACUGAAGCACGGAAGGAGCCGCGGGGAGCGGACCGGUAGAGGCUUCGGGGGAGACUGAAGCACGGAAGGAGCCGCGGGGAGCGGACCGGUAGAGGCUUCGGGGCAGACUGAAGCACGGAAGGAGCCGCGGAGAGCGGACCGGUAGAGGCUUCGGGGCAGACUGUAUAAGGAGAGAAUAAAGAAAAGCCUGACCACCGCCA